ACUCCUACGGGAGGCAGCAGUAAGGAAUAUUGGUCAAUGGAGGGAACUCUGAACCAGCCAUGCCGCGUGCAGGAAGACAGCCCUCUGGGUCGUAAACUGCUUUUAUUCGGGAAUAAACCUUUCUACGUGUAGGAAGCUGAAUGUACCGAAGGAAUAAGGAUCGGCUAACUCCGUGCCAGCAGCCGCGGUAAUACGGAGGAUCCAAGCGUUAUCCGGAUUUAUUGGGUUUAAAGGGUGCGUAGGCGGCUUAUUAAGUCAGGGGUGAAAGACGGUGGCUCAACCAUCGCAGUGCCCUUGAUACUGAUGAGCUUGAAUACACUAGGGUAGGUACGGA
rnacentral:rRNA from 1 species